CGAAAAUAGAAAGGUAAAUUUGUAAACAAAUGUUUCAACUAAUGUAUACACCCGGGGCCAUCCCGGGAAAGGCCAAUAAGCGGCAUUUAUCCGAAGAGGAAAAAAUAUCCGCAAAAAAAAAGUAUGAAUCAAAAAGAACGCGGAGCUUCCAGCCUUCCUGGGAAAAAAGUUUUCCGUGGCUUACUUACAAUUCUGAAUCUGGCAAGAUGUUUUGCACCUUUUGUAUUAAAACAUCAAACGAGUGUGUUUUUACCACCGGGUGUUCUAAUUUCAAAGUGGAAACACUAAACGCUCACCAGGAAAGCCGUGGACACCAAAAGGCUGCUGGUGAACAUCAUGCAAAAUCUGCCCCCACCCACUCCAAAACGAGUGAGGCAGCAAAUUGCCUGUUAAAACUCAAGCAAAAUGAGUAUCAAAAAUUAAUUAUAAAGUUUAGGACAGCUCAUGCCCUUGCUAAAUCACACCAGAGUUUUAAUUUCUAUAACACCAUCUGCCGGUUAGACAAGGUCAAGGGCUUAGAUGUGGGAAAGAGUUACUUAAACGACAAAGCAGCAGCCUCUUUCACUAAAGCCAUUGCCGAAGUUACUAGGCAAAAAGUGCUGCAGAAACUUCGCCAGUCACCUUUUUUUUCUUUUACCAUCGAUGGAGCCACUGACUUUACCGGAGAGGACUUGGAAAAUAUUUAUGUCAGAACUUGUAUCCAGGGGCAGAUACAGGAUACAUUCCUGUAUAUUGGAAGCGCUGAGUCUGCAACAAGUAGAGACAUUCAUAACCUGAUAUUAAAAGUAUUCGAAGAAUAUGGAAUUUCCGAUGUUUUUGAGAAGAGGCUUGUGGGAUUUUGUGCUGACGGAGCCUCCAACAUGCAAGGCCUCAAGUCUGGACUAGCUGCACUGAUACGGGAGCAGCAGCCAUACUGUAUCAUUACCCACUGUCUUGCUCACCGGCUUGAGCUGGCUUUCAAGGAUGCCAUCAAAACAUCAUCAACCAGCAAACUGUACGACAAAACCUUGACGCUGCUGAUUGGGCUGUACUAUUUGUAUCGUAGAAGUCCAAAGAUGAAAAAACAGUUGAAGAAUGCAUUUACCACAAUGGAGAUCAAACAGGUUCUGCCCACGAGGAUUGGUGGUACGAGGUGGUUGCCCCAUAUGGAGCGAGCCAUCAACGCUUUUUUGGGUGGCUACAGGGCUAUCCAAGCUCAGCUCGAGACCGGAUCUCACAACAAUCCAAAGGCAGAGGGACUGGCGAAAUUGGCAUCAGAUGGACACGUGAUCAUCUACAUCCUACUACUGAAGUCUGUUGUGCGGCAUCUCCAGAAAUUGUCCAAGUAUCUGCAGACUACAGGACUUUCCUUAGCUGAUGCUUAUAAUCGAGUGGCUGCAACCAAGACAGUCCUGCUGAAUAUGAUGGGCAGAUUUUGGGGACAAAGAAGUGUUCACCUUAGUGAACUAUUUCUCAACACAGCUACAGAAUGUGGCUAAGGAUAUCUCCAUGGAGGAUUACAUGGACGAAUGGCAGAUUCUGCGAUCUCUGGUGUACAAGAGGUAUGCUACUGAGCUGCAAAGUGGGACUCUGACAUUGGAAAAAGUUCUUAAGGGUUUGGCAAGUCAGAAACUGAAUAAUGUCACCCGGGUGCUGGAUCUCUUGGGCUCAUUACCACCAACAUCCGUGAAAAAUGAGACCACG
rnacentral:misc_RNA from 1 species